UAGGGAAUCUUCGGCAAUGGACGAAAGUCUGACCGAGCAACGCCGCGUGAGUGAAGAAGGUUUUCGGAUCGUAAAACUCUGUUGUUAGAGAAGAACAAGGACGUUAGUAACUGAACGUCCCCUGACGGUAUCUAACCAGAAAGCCACGGCUAACUACGUGCCAGCAGCCGCGGUAAUACGUAGGUGGCAAGCGUUGUCCGGAUUUAUUGGGCGUAAAGCGAGCGCAGGCGGUUUCUUAAGUCUGAUGUGAAAGCCCCCGGCUCAACCGGGGAGGGUCAUUGGAAACUGGGAGACUUGAGUGCAGAAGAGGAGAGUGGAAUUCCAGGUGUAGCGGUGAAAUGCGUAGAUAUAUGGAGGAACACCAGUAGCGAAGGCGGAUCUCUGGUCUGUAACUGACGCUGAGGCUAGAAAGCGUGGGGAGCAAACAGG
rnacentral:rRNA from 1 species